CCCUACUAUGCUAAGCCGUUAACCAGACAGCCAAGAAACAUGCUGUCCGCCAGAGAACUACGAGCAACUAGCUUAAAACUCAAAGGACUUGGCGGUGUCCCACACAACCUAGAGGAGCCUGUCCUAUAACCCGAAAACACCCGUUCUAUUUCACCACCUGUUGCACCCACCCAGCUUAUAUACCGCCGUCGUCAGCCCACCCCAUAAGGGGUACUAAGUGGGCAAAAAAGCAACUUCACUCACACGUCAGGUCGAGGUGUAGCUAAUCAGGUGGAAGUGAUGGGCUACAUUGUCCUUACAGGACUACACGAACAGCAAUAUGAAAUAGCUGCUAGAAGGCGGAUUUAGCAGUAAAUUAAAUAACUGUAUUUACUUUAACCCUGCUCUGGGACGCGCACACACCGCCCGUCACCCUCUUCAACCAAGCCUAAUUAAACCUUAUCUAAUUCACCCCCACUAGAUCAAAGAAGAGACAAGUCGUA
rnacentral:rRNA from 1 species